rnacentral:rRNA from 1 species
UGAACCUGCGGGAAGGAUCAUUACCUAGAGUUUGUAGACUUCGGUCUGCUACCUCUUACCCAUGUCUUUUGAGUACCUUCGUUUCCUCGGCGGGUCCGCCCGCCGAUUGGACAACAUUCAAACCCUUUGCAGUUGCAAUCAGCGUCUGAAAAAACAUAAUAGUUACAACUUUCAACAACGGAUCUCUUGGUUCUGGCAUCGAUGAAGAACGCAGCGAAAUGCGAUAAGUAGUGUGAAUUGCAGAAUUCAGUGAAUCAUCGAAUCUUUGAACGCACAUUGCGCCCCUUGGUAUUCCAUGGGGCAUGCCUGUUCGAGCGUCAUUUGUACCUUCAAGCUCUGCUUGGUGUUGGGUGUUUGUCUCGCCUCUGCGUGUAGACUCGCCUUAAAACAAUUGGCAGCCGGCGUAUUGAUUUCGGAGCGCAGUACAUCUCGCGCUUUGCACUCAUAACGACGACGUCCAAAAGUACAUUUUUACACUCUUGACCUCGGAUCAGGUAGGGAUACCCGCUGAACUUAAGCAUAUCAAUAAGCGGAGGAAAAGAAACCAACAGGGAUUGCCCUAGUAACGGCGAGUGAAGCGGCAACAGCUCAAAUUUGAAAUCUGGCGUCUUUGGCGUCCGAGUUGUAAUUUGCAGAGGGCGCUUUGGCAUUGGCAGCGGUCCAAGUUCCUUGGAACAGGACGUCACAGAGGGUGAGAAUCCCGUACGUGGUCGCUAGCCUUUACCGUGUAAAGCCCCUUCGACGAGUCGAGUUGUUUGGGAAUGCAGCUCUAAUGGG